ensembl:snoRNA
CCCACUUCUACCAAUGUAGUAGCCCUGGAAAAAAAGAAAGAAAGAAAGACAAAAACUUAAAGAGAAGUGCAAAGAACAAACCCUCUUUUGCAACCUACAACCCAUGGUUUUGUAUGAGUUGUGAUACAUACAAGAAGGGACAGU